CCUACGGGGGGCUGCAGUGGGGAAUAUUGGGCAAUGGGCGCAAGCCUGACCCAGCAACGCCGCGUGAAGGAAGAAGGCUCUCGGGUUGUAAACUUCUUUUAUCAGGGACGAAGCAAGUGACGGUACCUGAUGAAUAAGCCACGGCUAACUACGUGCCAGCAGCCGCGGUAAUACGUAGGUGGCAAGCGUUAUCCGGAUUUACUGGGUGUAAAGGGCGUGUAGGCGGGAAAGCAAGUCAGAGGUGAAAACCAUGGGCUCAACCCAUAGCCUGCAUUUGAAACUGUACUUCUUGAGUACUGGAGAGGCAGACGGAAUUCCGAGUGUAGCGGUGAAAUGCGUAGAUAUAAGGAGGAACACCAGGGGCGAAGGCGGACUGCUGGACAGCAACUGACGCUGAGGCGCGAAAGCGUGGGGAGCAAACAGGAUUAGAUACCCCAGUAGUC
rnacentral:rRNA from 1 species